GACGAACGCUGGCGGCGUGCUUAACACAUGCAAGUCGAACGGAAAGGCCCAGCUUGCUGGGUGCUCGAGUGGCGAACGGGUGAGUAACACGUGGGUGAUCUGCCCCUAACUUCGGGAUAAGCUUGGGAAACUGGGUCUAAUACCGGAUAGGACAAUCGUUUAGUGUCGGUUGUGGAAAGUUUUUUCGGUUAGGGAUGAGCCCGCGGCCUAUCAGCUUGUUGGUGGGGUAAUGGCCUACCAAGGCGUCGACGGGUAGCCGGCCUGAGAGGGUGGACGGCCACAUUGGGACUGAGAUACGGCCCAGACUCCUACGGGAGGCAGCAGUGGGGAAUAUUGCACAAUGGGCGCAAGCCUGAUGCAGCGACGCCGCGUGGGGGAUGACGGCCUUCGGGUUGUAAACCUCUUUCGACAGGGACGAAGCUUUGGUGACGGUACCUGUAUAAGAAGCACCGGCUAACUACGUA
rnacentral:rRNA from 1 species